rnacentral:rRNA from 1 species
UACGGAGGGUGCGAGCGUUAAUCGGAAUAACUGGGCGUAAAGAGCUCGUAGGUGGUUUGUCGCCUCGUCUGUGAAAUUCCGGGGCUUAACUCCGGGCGUGCAGGCGAUACGGGCAUAACUUGAGUACUGUAGGGGAGACUGGAAUUCCUGGUGUAGCGGUGAAAUGCGCAGAUAUCAGGAGGAACACCAGUGGCGAAGGCGACUUUCUGGUCUGUAACUGACGCUGAGGUACGAAAGCGUGGGUAGCAAACAGG